AUUUCAUUCUCUCUCUCUUUCUCUCUCACACAGAGUGACCCGUGCUCCUGUCUCUGUUCCAUUCCAUCUCUCUUCUGUACUUUACAGAGUACUGUGUGACUCAUAGCCGGCGGCCGCCGCUGAUCAAAGACGCCGGAUCGUAACGGAAUUAAAUCGGACGGCGAAGGAUGAAGAUUUUCAUCAAGACACUCAAGGGCACGCAAUUCGAGAUCGAAGUGAACCCCGAAGACACCGUUGCUGAUGUGAAGAAAAGUAUUGAAACAGUUCAGGGUUCAGAUGUUUACCCUGCUGCACAACAGUUGCUUAUUCAUCAGGGGAAAGUUCUCAAGGAUGCGACAACAUUGGACGAAAACAAAGUUGCGGAAAACAGUUUCGUUGUCAUCAUGUUAAGUAAGAACAAGCCUUCAGGUGGGGCCUCAACUACAUCAUCUGCACCUUCAAUUCAGGCCCAACCUGCAAGUUCCGUGGCUCCUCUAACACAGCAAGUAACAGAGUCUCCAGCUCCUGCAUCAACUGCAGGGAUUCCACAGGCUGCCCCUGAAUCCACGCCCGCUGCUCCUGCUCCUGCUGCUCUUACCUUCAGGUCAGAAUCAGCUGUUUAUGACCAAGCUGCAUCAAAUCUUGUUGCUGGUGGUAACUUAGAGGCUUCUAUUCAACAACUUCUUGAUAUGGGCGGUGGGAGUUGGGACCGGGAUACGGUUGUCCGUGCUCUACGUGCUGCAUACAACAACCCAGAGAGAGCUGUUGACUACCUCUAUUCAGGUAUUCCUCAGCAAGCUGAACCACCAGUGGCUCAAGCUCCUGCUAUUGGGCAGGCUGUGAACCCUCUAGCCCAAGCUCCACAGCCAGCAGUUCCUUCCAGUGGCCCCAACGCAAAUCCACUUGAUCUUUUUCCGCAGGGCAUUCCAAAUGUUGGUUCAAAUGCAAGUGCUGGCACCUUAGAUUUUCUGCGCAACAGUCAACAGUUCCAAGCCUUGCGUGCCAUGGUUCAAGCCAAUCCUCAAAUCUUGCAGCCUAUGCUUCAGGAGCUGGGAAAGCAAAAUCCGCACUUGAUGCGGCUAAUUCAGGAGCAUCAAGCAGACUUUCUAAACUUGAUCAAUGAACCCGUUGAAGGGGAGGGGUGAGAUGACAUGUUUUGGUGUUGCUUACAUUCUGUACACGUUAAGUUGGACACACAAGAUGCGGAAUUAUCUCCUUAUCCUUUUGGGCUUACAUUUGAUGUCGGUUUUCUUUUGUAUGUGAUGUCAGCAAUGUAUUGGAGCAGCUUGCAGGAGCGAUGCCACAGACUGUGGCUGUCACACCUGAAGAGCGCGAGGCAAUAGAACGUGUUAGUUAAUUCUCCCCAAUGUCUAAUUUAAAACCAUACUGAUCUCAUAUUUUGGUUUCAGUUGUGUUUAUUGUCGUCAGCAUGAAAUUUAGCAAGUGAGGCUGCAUGUUUACUAUUUCUGUCUGUCUGUUGAAAUUACCAGUUUGUUCUAGAGUUUUUUUUUUUGGGUAAGGAAAAAAAAACUCUAAAACAAACUGGUAAUCAAGGUUUUUGUCUUCUUAAACUUGUUACUUCAAGUAAUUUGAGACAAUUGCCAACAUUGUGGUCCAUGUGAAAGUUCAGGGUGUAGAUCAUUUAGUCUUCUUUCAACAUAUCCUCUGGAAAGGAAAUUUUGAGGAAGUAUUAAUAUUUCUUUGUCGGAUUCUAUCACUUGGAAAGGAGGGGCAUUGCAAAGUGCAAAUAGUGAAAUAUUGGCAAAAGUUUUUCUAAUUUUUGGAACUUAAACAAAAAUAAUGGUAGAAAUAUACUGGUGAUUUCUUGAAAGACUAACGUAUGAGGUUUUACUUAUUUUAUAUCUAUUGUUUGAGAUCUUUUUGUAGGAAACACACACAAACGAUCAACAAAUAUAUGAAAACAGUAAAGAAUCAAGACACAUAAUUUACGUGGUUCCUCAAAACUGGGUACGUCUACGGGAGUGAGAGUGCUAGUGUUUCUUAUUAUCACUGUUUCAGGGUUUACAUAGAGUAUUUAUACCUCACUCUAUCCCUAACCCUAAUCGGGGUACAUGUCCUUUCUCUUUCCCAAAAAUACCUUACAGUAUUGUACCGUACCGUGGGGGGCGUAGCCCCCCACCCCCAACCCACUCCAUGGGAACGGUGAUGGGCCAGUUGCUGGAGCGGAGCGGAACGAGUGGAGCGAAACUCCAGCCUUGUUUUUCAUUUGCUUAAACUGUGAAGGCAUCAAUUCCAGGAAAGCUACCUUUUCCCCUUUUGAUUUCUUUUCCGCCUCCUCCUCAUUCUUCUAUCUAUCCCUAUGGCAGCUUUGGCGAGGUCCCAUACCAUGUCUGAUAAUUUUAACAUGGCUUGAAGCGAUGGGCUUUGAUCGAGCUUUAGUGUUGGAGGUAUUUUUUGCGUGCAACAAAAAUGAGGAGCUUGCAGCAAACUAUCUUUUAGAUCACAUGCAUGAGUUUGAUGACUGAUGAGGAUCGAAGUACAGAUUGGUUCUUCCUUUUCCUGUUCAUUUCCCCCUAUUCUUAAGUGAAUUGACUCUAUCUUUUAGCCAUGGUCAAAUUUCAUUUCAUCAUUCAAUGUGUUA